rfam:Chaetura pelagica isolate M959 contig5698, whole genome shotgun sequence.
ACAAAGGCUCUUUUCAGAGCCACCUCCAUAUUCAUAAAAGGAGCUU